UACGUAGGGGGCUAGCGUUAUCCGGAAUUACUGGGCGUAAAGGGUGCGUAGGUGGUUUUUUAAGUCAGAAGUGAAAGGCUACGGCUCAACCGUAGUAAGCUUUUGAAACUGAAGAACUUGAGUGCAGGAGAGGAGAGUAGAAUUCCUAGUGUAGCGGUGAGAUGCGUAGAUAUUAGGAGGAAUACCAGUAGCGAAGGCGGCUCUCUGGACUGUAACUGACACUGAGGCACGAAAGCGUGGGGGAGCAAACAGG
rnacentral:rRNA from 1 species